rnacentral:misc_RNA from 1 species
GUAGGUGAACCUGCGGAAGGAUCAUUAUUGAAUGAAUGUAGAGUUGGUUGUCGCUGGCCUUUACUGGCAUGUGCACGCCUUCUCUUUCAUCCACACACACCUGUGCACCUGUGAGACGGAGAGCUUGCCCUUUAGCUAGGGUGUCUUCUCCGUCUGCCAAUACACAAACUCAUAUCAUAAUUUGAAUGUAAUCGAUGUAACGCAU